UACAGAGGGUGCAAGCGUUGUCCGGAAUUAUUGGGCGUAAAGCGCGCGCAGGUGGUUCCUUAAGUCUGAUGUGAAAUCCCACGGCUCAACCGUGGAAGUGCACUCGAAACUGCAUAGCUAGAGUCCUGGAGAGGAAGGUGGAAUGCUUGGUGUAGAGGUGAAAUUCGUAGAUAUCAAGCGGAACACCGGUGGCGAAGGCGGCCUUCUGGACAGUGACUGACGCUGAGACGGCGAAAGCGUGGGGAGCAAACAGG
rnacentral:rRNA from 1 species